rnacentral:rRNA from 1 species
GAUGAACGCUGGCGGCGUGCCUAAUACAUGCAAGUCGAGCGAACGGACGAGAAGCUUGCUUCUCUGAUGUUAGCGGCGGACGGGUGAGUAACACGUGGAUAACCUACCUAUAGGACUGGGAUAACUUCGGGAAACCGUAGCUAAUACCGGAUAAUAUUUUGAACCGCAUGGUUCAAAAGUGAAAGACGGUCUUGCUGUCACUUAUAGAUGGAUCCGCGCUGCAUUAGCUAGUUGGUAAGGUAACGGCUUACCAAGGCAACGAUGCAUAGCCGACCUGAGAGGGUGAUCGGCCACACUGGAACUGAGACACGGUCCAGACUCCUACGGGAGUCAGCAGUAGGGAAUCUUCCGCAAUGGGCGAAAGCCUGACGGAGCAACGCCGCGUGAGUGAUGAAGGUCUUCGGAUCGUAAAACUCUGUUAUUAGGGAAGAACAUAUGUGUAAGUAACUGUGCACAUCUUGACGGUACCUAAUCAGAAAGCCACGGCUAACUACGUG